rnacentral:misc_RNA from 1 species
GAUGAAGAACGUAGUGAAAUGCGAUAAGUAAUGCGAAUUGCAGAAUUUCCGUGAGUCAUCGAAUCUUUGAACGCACAUUGCGCCCACUGGUAUUCCGGUGGGCAUGCCUGUUCGAGCGUCAUUAUCCUCCCUCAAACCCCGGGUUUGGUGUUGGACCCAAGUUGUGUGAACAACUGGUCUUAAAGACAAUGACGGCGUCCGUGGGACCCUCGGUGCAACGAGCUAUUAGGAGCACGCAUCGAGUUGCAAGGACCUUCCGGGCCGGUCUCCUUUACUAUUUUACAAGGUUGACCUCGGAUCAGGUAGGAAUACCCGCUGAACUUAAGCAUAUCAAUAAGGGAGGA